CACUUCGCGCGGCUGGGCCGGGUCACCGCCCCCCGCCGCCGUCUCAGUUGCUGUUCUGUGUCGGCGGCGGCGGCGGCGGCGGCGUCGGGGCUGCUGAUUGUCUCGCGCCCAGACUGGCUGGCUCUGUGCAACUUCCAGACGCCUCUUUGGGGCAGGUCCGGGGGGAGCGGGGAGGAAUCUGAUUGCCAGAAGCCAGGCACACAACCUUGCCUCCGUGCUCCCCUCUUUUGAUCCCCUUAGGGCAUCCUGGCCCCACGCGCGGUGGGGCAGGGACGGUGACCCCAUUUUACGGAUGGCAAAACUAAGGGGAGAAGCGACUCGGCCAAAGGCACAUCUCGAGAUACAAGUAACAGAAACAAGAGAACUCCCAUCCCUCACUGCCGUUUCCCGCCUCCCCCCGGGGUGAUGCCCUGGGCUCAGAAAUCUCCCUCUUUCUCUGUCUGCGACCUCUGGCUCCACCUUUUACCAGCUUCAGUCCAUCAGCACUGGAGGCUGAGAACCAACUCUCCUACCUUCUCAUUCAUAAAUCCGAUUAAAGACUGCUGGAGUGUUCUAACCUGUGGAACUUGGGCAAGCCCCUACCCCAUUUUGGGCCUCAGUUUUCCCAUCUGUAUAAGAGAGGCUAUGUUACCCCCUAAGAAGCCUUCCAGCCCUCAUAUUCCAGGAUACUUGGAUACUUUCGCUGCAGGCACCAGCCCGCCGUGAGGAAUGAACCUUCCUUCCUUUUCUCUGUAUCUUAAUUACAGUUGCCUUCCCAAUGCCUGUGCAGGUGAGGGUGUUCCGCAAAGGCGAUUGAAUAAGAAUAAAGGUCUGCCUUUGC